CAGCAGCGCGGGAAUACGAAGGGGGCUAGCGUUGCUCGGAAUGACUGGGCGUAAAGGGCGCGUAGGCGGCGGCCAAAGUCAGGCGUGAAAUUCCCGGGCUCAACCUGGGGGCUGCGUUUGAUACUUGGUUGCUUGAGUGGGGAAGAGGGUCGUGGAAUUCCCAGUGUAGAGGUGAAAUUCGUAGAUAUUGGGAAGAACACCGGUGGCGAAGGCGGCGACCUGGUCCUUUACUGACGCUGAGGCGCGAAAGCGUGGGGAGCAAACAGGAUUAGAUACCCCAGUAGUCCCUGUCUCUUAUACA
rnacentral:rRNA from 1 species